rnacentral:rRNA from 1 species
CCUACGGGCGGCUGCAGUGAGGAAUAUUGGUCAAUGGGCGCAAGCCUGAACCAGCCAUCCCGCGUGCAGGAAGACGGCCCUAUGGGUUGUAAACUGCUUUUCCAGGGGGAGAAACUUGCGCACGUGUUGCGCAAUUGACGGUACCCUGGGAAUAAGCAUCGGCUAACUCCGUGCCAGCAGCCGCGGUAAUACGGAGGCUGCGAGCGUUAUCCGGUUUCAGUGGGCGUAGGGGGUGCAUUAGCGGACUGUUGAAAUCCUGCAGCUUAACUGCAGAACUGCCAUUGAUACUGAUAGCCUUGAGUUUGGUGAAGGUAGGCGGAAUGUGUAAUGUAGCGGUGAAAUGCUUAGAUAUUACACAGAACACCAAUUGCGUAGGCAGCUUACUGAGCCGACACUGACGCUGAGGCACGAAAGCGUGGGGAUCGAACAGGAUUAGAUACCCUAGUAGUC